GCCAGACUCCUACGGGAGGCAGCAGUGGGGAAUAUUGCACAAUGGGGGGAACCCUGAUGCAGCGACGCCGCGUGAAGGAAGAAGUAUCUCGGUAUGUAAACUUCUAUCAGCAGGGAAGAAAGAGGACGGUACCUGACUAAGAAGCCCCGGCUAACUACGUGCCAGCAGCCGCGGUAAUACGUAGGGGGCGAGCGUUGUCCGGAAUUACUGGGUGUAAAGGGAGCGCAGGCGGGAAGCCAAGUCAGCUGUGAAAACUACGGGCUUAACUUGUAGACUGCAGUUGAAACUGGUUUUCUUGAGUGAAGUAGAGGUUGGCGGAAUUCCGAGUGUAGCGGUGAAAUGCGUAGAUAUUCGGAGGAACACCGGUGGCGAAGGCGGCCAACUGGGCUUUAACUGACGCUGAGGCUCGAAAGUGUGGGGAGCAAGCAGGAUUAGAUACCCUCGUACU
rnacentral:rRNA from 1 species